UAAAAUACCCAUGAAUUCCAAACAUUCUUUUUAUCCAGUUACUAUAACAAACAAUAAUAGUUUUACAUAUGUAUGCGGCUCUGCAUUUUAAAUUCCAACUAAAAACUAUUGCACAUCAGAGAAGAAGUCCCUGUUACACCCCCCAUGAGACAAAUGGAUUUAUAUUUAAUUUUCUUAAGGCUAACGCUAUAAAAAUUUGUGUCAACUAAUUUCUCCUUCGUAAGGAUUCCAAGUGAAAUAUUGUGCAAAUAAAGUGCAGAUGCAAUGACAAGAUAUCAUCAAAACUAGAAACCGUUUAAAAGUAAAGACAACAAUCUUAUAUGUUCAAUCAUUUUACUGGAAAAGGGAGCACAUUAUUUUCAAUAACUAUAAGAAGAAUCCGACAAUACCAUUCAGUAGUAUUCUAUCAAAAAAAAUGAAAUAGGAAUGCAUCCUASUUGUUACUAAUUUAAAAGACAUAUAGGAAAUAUACAUUAUAAUAAGAAUACUUUUCUUGUAAAAAAUGUAUUGCCAAACGUUGUAUCAGAGAUGCCAUGUGAAUUAUCAUACAAAUAGAAUGCAGCAGCAGUGAAAAGGAUCUGUUAAAAGGCAAACAUUAUUAUCUUGUAUUAGGAAGAARCCAAAAUAUUGUAAUACAAUGGUAUAAAAUAUUUAUUCAAAACUUUAAAGAACUUAUU